CUAUUGCAACAAUUGUACUUUGGAAAAUGUACAGAUUGCCAUGGAUGUGUUGCCGCUUCAGCCACACUCUUAUAAUAAUUUGCCUACAUUGCUUUUUGUUGCCUCUUUUUGUCUAUGAUGUCUAGUUGUUGUAGCAUAUUCCUUACACUGUAGGGUCAGUCAAAUAUAAAAAUAACCUAUGAAUUGAUAUUAUAAUAUAAUCAACCAAAAAGAAAUAAUUAUUUAAUGAAGGAGAUAAUUACAACCCAAUUCAAGUAUCAAUAUUCACAUAUUAUACUAGUUUACCAUAAUCGGAUAAUUAUGAAAACCGACAAGAAUUAUUAAUGAAAUUUGUAAACAAAUGGUAAUAACCCAAUGGCAAGACAAAAUCAAGUCUUAACAGCACAAUCAAUAUUGAGUAAGUAGAACAAUCGGUUCAGAGAUUAAAAAAAUUAAAGUAAUCAAUCACAAUUACUAAAUUAAUCAAGUAUGCGAAUUAUUAACAGGUCAACAUAGAGGGCAGAUAUUAAGGCAUCACACUCAAUCAGUGAAGUAAAGAAAUUAUUCUUGAUUUUUCGUAAUACAGUAUAAACAAACCAAAUAAAUAUAUGUUUGCCAUAUAAAAUCACUAACAUCAUUUGCUCAAAUUACUCAAAUCAGUAUAAGGAAGGUAAUUAGUCAAGGAGUCUAUUAAUAAUUACUAAAAUAACUAUGGAAAAAAAACAAUUCAUGAUUUAAUGGAAGAAACAAAAAUCAGUAAAAUUCAACUAGGCAUUCUAAAAUUUGAGAUUCACACACUAAUAUUAUGAUCCAAAUUUGAAAAGGAAAGAAGUCAAUAAUACUGAAUGGACGAAAAAUAGAGCUGGCCAGAGAAUUACAAUCCUUUACAACAUAGAUGACCAUCAUGGAAAACAAUAUAAAAAGAUCUUCAUUAUCCCCAAGUAGAAUGCACAUAUACAAUAACCAUGCUCAUGAUAACACAAUCACAAAGAAUUAUUAUAAUCAAAUUUUAAAGCAAGGAGGAGAUUAAUAGAGAGAGAUAAUCUGAAAAAGAAUGUGAUCCAAAUCAUGUUGUUUUCAUAGAGACAUUAGCAGUAAGCACUAUACAAUACAAUACAAUUUAGAGGUAGAAAAAUCUUAAUCAUUAAGAGGGAUAAGCAUUCAUGAGAAUCAUAAAAUUUCGGGCAAAGCAUAUAACUUUUUUUUUGGUCUCAACUAUAAAAAAUAGAUGAAAGAUGAAAGAUGUAGCAACUGGGUUAGAUGAAUCUUACCGGGAAAAGGUCUGUUAAAUCAUAAUCGAACUUCCGAACUCAAUUUUUUUAUUCAAUUUGGCUAUUACCAUGGUGGUUCACCAUGGUCAUUGGAUAGAGAUUUCGUUUCCGUUGAAGCCUGUUGGUGGGAGCAACAAUACUCUUGCUC
rnacentral:lncRNA from 1 species